AAUCAUAAAGAUGGGAAGGCCAAGGAUUUAACAUCAAUUUUGACUUUGUAAAAAUCUAAAAAUAGAAGAUAUUAUUUUGUCUUAUUUAGCUUUAUUCUUUAUUUUUAUUUUUAUUUUAUUAAUUUAGAAUAGGCUAUUUUUAGUAACCCUAUGUAGGUUAACUCCGUGCCAGCAGCCGCGGUAAGACGGAGGGGGGGGCAAGUGUUCUUCGGAAUGACUAGGCAUAAAGGGCACGUAGGCGGUGAAUCGGGUUGAAAGUGAAAGUCGCCAAAAACUGGCGGAAUGCUCUCGAAACCAAUUCACUUGAGUGAGACAGAGGAGAGUGGAAUUUCGUGUGUCUUUUAAGAGAAGGGUGAAAUCUCAAAAUCUACGAAGGAACGCGCAGCCCAAUUAGGAGCUCUCAACCAUCGUGCUUCUAACCCAUUCUUUAUCCGUUGUGCC
rnacentral:ncRNA from 1 species